AGUGAACGCUGGCGGUAGGCCUAACACAUGCAAGUCGAACGGCAGCACAGUAAGAGCUUGCUAUUACGGGUGGCGAGUGGCGGACGGGUGAGGAAUACAUCGGAAUCUACUUUUUCGUGGGGGAAAACGUAGGGAAACUUACGCGAAUACCGCAUAAGACCUACGGGUGAAAGCAGGGGAUCUUCGGACCUUGCGCGAUUGAAUGAGCCGAUGUCGGAUUAGCUAGUUGGCGGGGUAAAGGCCCACCAAGGCGACGAUCCGUAGCUGGUCUGAGAGGAUGAUCAGCCACACUGGAACUGAGACACGGUCCAGACUCCUACGGGAGGCAGCAGUGGGGAAUAUUAGACGAUGGGCGCAAGCCUGAUCCAGCCACACCGCGUGGGUGAAGAAGGCCUUCGGGUUGGAAAGCCCUUUUGUUGGGAGAGAAAAGCAGCAGGUUAAUACCCCGUUGUUCUGACGGUACCCAAAGAAUAAGCACCGGCUAACUUCGUG
rnacentral:rRNA from 1 species